ensembl:lincRNA
AGGGAUUUGGUGGUUGGAAAACUCUGCAGUAAGCCUUUGCUCCUUAAUUCCCUCCACAGAACCCUGGAUUCCCUGAUUCACUUGCUCACUUCUGUUCAAGGAUGUGAGGACAGCUGCUAGAACCUGCCUGAGCAGCUCUGUGACUCUCUUUUCUCACUUCUCUGUUGGAAUGUUGCUCUCGCUCUCGGUGUUUGAAAUAGAGCCAGCCAAUCACUCCUGUUUUGAGACUCAAUUUCCAUGCUCUUUGUAAAUGCCCUCAGCCAUCUUUGAAUGAUGUGCCUCUCAGAGGUGAAAUGGAGCAGCACGCUUGGAAAGACGUGGCGAAAUGAAGAAAAUAAAUGGCUUAAACAAAAUGCGCUGCAGUGGAGAGAUAAGAAAAGAGUAUUUCUUUUCUGUGAAGCUGUUCACUAUAUUUUGCUGAAGGACCAUGUGAGCAUGCUAAGUGGAUUGCCAAGAAGGCAUUGCUCUGAAUUUUGCCUUUACCCAGCAUAGUCUGCAGAGUUGUGCUGGUGAUAAAUGAGAAAGAAAUGCUUCAUUUGGAGAAAUAACUACAUAAUACAAAGUCAUGCAGAAAAUUGGUAAGGUCCAUGAGGCCUGGUACAUCAGGAGCAUCCAAAUAACGACAUAUUGCUAGCUGGCUCAGAAAUUGAAGCUGAGGAUGAGUCAACUGCAUGUGUAAAGGGCCGAAAGCCCAACUGGAAGAUGAAGGACUGGGCAUGUAGUCUGAAGAGCUAGGAGAAGCAUGGGGCUCUCGUGAUGCAGAAGCUUGGCAGUUGGUGACACUAGCAAUUGGAUUUCUGAGACAGGAGUGAAGCUGCCUGUUGUGUAUGUCUGAGCUAUCCUGUUGAGACUAAAAGUGAAGAAUCUAUAGUAGACUCCCAGGCUUUAAGAGAGACUUACCUUUGAUCAAAAGAUGUUUCUCAAAGUAUAUCCACUAAACAAGGAGAUAGAAACACAACCUCAGAAAGGAGAAAACCCAUUCUAUGCCAUCUUUGUAACUCUUCUGACAUUCUACUUUCCAAGCAUAAUACACAGAACCUGACAAGGAGACCAUGGAGCCCUACAGAGAGAGGUCAAUCCCUAGUGCAUGCUCUGAGUGUUGGUGGGUGGAUGCUGCCUACACACAAGCUAAGUGUGGCUGUGUGAUUGACCCCAGCCCAUAAGCUUAAUGUGGAUUUGUGAAUGCCUCUAGCCUACAAGCUAAGUGUAUAAAACCAAGGGACCAGCCAAAACCAACACAGUUGCUCUCUGAAAAUUUCAAGUCAGACACUUGUAUUUAAUUAAAUAUGCUACUUCUUUACAUAUUUUAUGAUUUACAAUGGAUUGUUUUUUGCUUCAUUAUUUUACACACUAUUUCCAAUUAUUAUAAGCCUUCCCAGCUUAACAUGGCCUUCUCUGCCCAUACUUAGCUGAUGCUUUGAGACCUGAUAGGUCAUACCUAACUCUACAGAGAUUGCUCAUUUUUUUGAUCCCUUUCCUUGAGAACUACACCUCUACAUUCCCCUAGGGUGACAUAUAAGCUCAUAAAUCUAUCUUCUGAUUGAAUCUUUCACAUUUCCUCUACAUGUUGGCAGGUUAUUUUUAUCUAGCUUCUACUGAGCACUUACCUUGAAUAUAAAUACAUGAUCACAGAAGCUGUGUCUACACACAAAAAUAAUUUUUUUCUUUGUAUUUACUUACCAGUUGCUUUGAUGGUAUUACAUAGAAACAAUCUAUUUUUUCCCUCCAAGACUAACAAUAUAAUUGCUAGUCUUUUG